CAGGCAAAAAUGUACGCCUCUAUGGUUAAAAUGUGGGAGACACUAAUGAAGACGAGCAAUCCCACUUUAAAGACGAGGGGAAGACCAUAAAAGAAGAUCGUCAACAUGAGAAUCAUAAGCACAUUUUGUGUUACCACCUGCUCAAAGCAAAGCAUUGCCACUCGUUUGUCUUCCACAUCACCCUCAAUAAGGCUAAGUUCAAAUUCGGCUGAGUCGCAUUGAACCUGAAGAAUUCAAGGAAGAAUAUAUAGAUUAAAUGGGGUAUAUAACAGAAAGAUAUAUGGUAUAGAUAAAUAGGUCAGUUUAAUAAUUUAAUAUUUUUUUUUGUAUUUAUCUAGUCUGUUUUAUUGAAAGACUUACCGUACGCAAAGUGGCCAUAACGUAUACUAAAAAUAUGGAGAAGAAUGAUAUAAAUAAGCGCACGAUCAGCUGCUCUUCGUAAUGCUCCGAGAGUCGGAAGAGCCAGCGACUGAGAGUAAAGCUGGGCUUAGUCCAGUUCCAUUUAACGCUUAUAUGAAUCCAAAUUGUUUUGUAGAAUGCUCCCAGGCAUAUUAAGAA